UACGUAGGGCGCAAGCGUUGUCCGGAAUUCUUGGGCGUAAAGAGCUCGUAGGCGGCUUGUCACGUCGGAUGUGAAAGCCCGGGGCUUAACUCCGGGUCUGCAUUCGAUACGGGCUAGCUAGAGUGUGGUAGGGGAGAUCGGAAUUCCUGGUGUAGCGGUGAAAUGCGCAGAUAUCAGGAGGAACACCGGUGGCGAAGGCGGAUCUCUGGGCCAUUACUGACGCUGAGGAGCGAAAGCGUGGGGAGCGAACAGG
rnacentral:rRNA from 1 species